AAAUAAGGAGAGAUAGGGAAAGUAGCAAAACAUAUGUUUGUUGUUGUUGGUAAAAAAUUAUUAUGGGGGUUUGUUUUUCGUGCUUUCCUUUUUCAUUUUCCGUCUUUCUUUCUU
rnacentral:ribozyme from 14 species